CCGCUCACAUUUUCAAUAAGAGUCCCAACAUGAACAAAAUCUUCCUUCUACCUCAACUGACAGAAAGAUAGGUUCAGGUUCGAAACUAAAAGCUUCGUAGUUCCUCGUGCUGCUCCUCUGUUUAACGGUGUUCGAAACCAAGCAACAUGGCGAAUGGUAGAUGAGCUUGACGACCUCGAGCAGUGUGGUCUCUUCAACCGUCGCGAAAUUGCCAAGAUUGUGAUGCAGCGGUGAAAAUUUGAGUACAGGCUGAAGCAUUUGUGUCCUCUAAAGUAGGAUUUCUUGGCCUAUAUUGAGUAUGAGACUCAACUCGACGCUCUCUACGAGCUCCGCAAGAUGUCCGUAGCACGAGAAUUUAGAAAUCAAGGCAACAAGAAGCUGAAGAAGUCCAAGUCAAAUGUCGAUGGCUUGCUUAGGAUUAUGGAGAUUUAAGAGCUCGCUUUGAAGCGCUACAAGGGUGACAUCGAUCUCUGGUUUCACUAUCUCGAGUUUUGCAGGAUCAGAGAAAAUGGCAGGAUGAAGACGGCAUUGACUAAAGUUAUUAGGUUUCAUCGAAAGGUUUCGGGAGUUUGGAUUUAUGCUGCGGCUUGGGAAUUUGAUCGCAACUUCAAUGUUGUGGCUGCUCGUGCUUUGAUGAAGGAGGGUCUUAGAGUUUGUCCAACUUCGAAAGAUUUUUGGGUGGAGUAUCUUCGAGUGGAACUUACCUACCUUAUAAUAAGUUGAAGGCAUGGAAGGUUGCUUUGGGUGAGGAUGAGGGAACUCUCACCCGUGAUGAUGAAAAAUAAUGGAGGGAUGAAAGCAAAGAGUUGUUCAUGUUUUUGGAUGAAAAAGUGGGGGUGAUGAUAAUGAUGGAACAAAUGUUAAAAUUGAGAAGAAAGAACGAAAACGGAUAUGGAGAAUGGAUUAUAAUGAAACGGAUCUAGGGAGGGGGGUGGGGUGCGCGGAUGUGAGUGAAAACGAGAGAUGAGAAUUUAGGAUUUUCAUAAACAAGUAAAAAAUUAAAAUAAAAAUGGUGGUUUUGUAAUUAAAUUUUUUUUGAGGAGCUAUAGGGAGUUAUUGGGGUGGUGGAGGGAGUAACUCCCUGAAAGCAAUCAAGGCUGAAAUGAAGCUGAAGUUGUGCUUUUUGAAGAAAAAACUUCUGAUGCGCUGAAAUGGACUAGCAGAAUUAAAAAAAAAAAGCUUAGUGCUAGAGUUGGGCUGAAGCCCUUUUUCUAAUUAAAUGAAACGCAGUGUUUCAUGUUGCUGCGUCAAGGCAAAGUGGAAAGGGUUCAAAAUCACGUUUCAUUCUAAGCAAAGAGGCUAAAAUCGAUUUGGGGAUUUCUCCCAAUCUUUUAAACCCUUAGAGCUAGGGUUCGUCAAGAGUAGAAAGGAAAAGGAAGCUGGCCUAGAAGCUGAUCGGACCAAAUGAAUCCAACCCAAGAGAUUGAUCAGUCAGAACUGAGGCAUGUGCGAAACGGUCGACGGUUGGAGAACGGUUCAGAUAUUCGUUGAAGAAAAAGGUCGCGAAGCUUCCAAGUUUGUUUUCAGUUCAUCAAUCUUUCCCAUUUUCUUUUCUUUUUCUGUUUUGUACUUUCCCUAUAUAUAGGGAAGUCUUGUAAAGUGAAUAAUAUGUGCACUGUGUGACAAACGAAGUACUUACACUUAGGGUAGAUACGGGUAGUGGGUGACAGACGGUACUUUUUCCAAAUUCUUGCCUUUAGUUUUAGACUUUAUCAACUUUUCAUAGAGAUAAAACUCUGUUCUUUUCACUCGAACUCGAAGAUGAUCACAUUGGGUGACAAACUUUGCGGUUUUCUUUGAUUUUUGGUAUCAAUUGUAUUCUCAUUUCCACUUUUCAAUAAGAGUUUUUACGUU